rnacentral:rRNA from 1 species
GAUGAACGCUAGCGGCAGGCCUAACACAUGCAAGUCGAGGGGCAUCGCGGGUAGCAAUACCUGGCGGCGACCGGCGCACGGGUGAGUAACACGUAUGCAACCUGCCCCGAACCGGGGGAUAACCCGAAGAAAUUCGGACUAAUACCCCAUAGCGCGUAGCGGUGGCAUCACCACUACGCUAAAGAUUUAUCAGUUCGGGAUGGGCAUGCGCCCUAUUAGCUAGUUGGCGGGGUAACGGCUCACCAAGGCGACGAUCCGUAGCUGAUCUGAGAGGAUGAUCAGCCACACUGGAACUGAGACACGGUCCAGACUCCUACGGGAGGCAGCAGUGGGGAAUAUUGGACAAUGGGGGCAACCCUGAUCCAGCAAUGCCGCGUGGGUGAUGAAGGCCUUCGGGUUGUAAAGCCCUUUUGGCAGGGACGAUGAUGACGGUACCUGCAGAAUAAGCCCCGGCUAACUUCGUGCCAGCCGCCGCAGUAA